AAACCCAGUGUUUAUCAACCCGUCAGGAUUAGAAGGAGCUACUAUAAAUAUAGCAGAAUCAACGUCAAUCGACACUUCAGUAUAUAAACUGUUAGCCACGGACGGCGAUGGAGAUAAUCUUACAUUUGUCUUUACAAAUGACAAUAACGAAUUUGAUCUUGAAACAAAUCAAGACAUAACUGUGGCCGCAGCGCUAGACUAUGAAACGAAUCAGUCUUUUCAGCUGAAAUUCGAGGUGACAGACGAAAAUUUAGAGGUGGUCACAUCUUCUGCAACCUUGACAGUCAGUAUCGAAGACGUAAAUGACAAUCCUCCAGUUUUCACAAAGGCAUCUUACAGUGGGUCUGUUCUUGAGAAACAAACCUCUGCCCUUACUGUGGCCACUCUAGAAGCUACUGACGCAGACAGCAGUCUUAACAACUAUGAUGUCAUCGAAUAUUCGAUUACAGAUGGAAAUUCAGCAAACCAUUUCACAAUAAACCCGAGUACAGGUGUGCUUACUGCAAUCAACCUGAAUUAUGCUACUGCAACUUCACAUACACUAGAAGUAACAGCUAAAGAUUUGAAUGGAUCAGAAGGUGCUCUUGAGGCAACUGUGACGGUGAACAUCGACGUUA